rnacentral:lncRNA from 10 species
GUCUCACUUUGUCACCCAGGCUGGAGUGAAGGGAUGCAAUUACAGCUCACUGCAGCCUCAGCCUUCCAGGCUCAAGGGGUCCUCCCGCCUCAGCCUCCUGAGUAGUUGGGACUCCAGGCAUGCACCACCACACCUGGCUAAUUUUUGUAUUUUUUUAUAGAGUUGGGUUGCCCAUGCUGGUCUCAAACUCCCAGGCUCAAUCAAUACCACCCCUUGGCCUCCCAAAAUGCUGGGAUUACAGGAGUGAGCCAUCACGCCAGGGAACGAUCCACGGGUUUUGACAAACACGUAAUGUCACGUACCUGCCAUUGCAGUACCAUCCAGAAGAGUUUUGCUGCCUUGAAAAUCCCAUAUGCUCCUCCUAUUCAUCCUUCCCUUCCUCCUCCUGAGUCUCUGGCAACCACUGAUCAUUUAUUGUCUCUACAGUUUUGCCUUUCCCAGAAUGCUGUAUAGUUGGAAUCAUAAUGUAUGCACCCUUUUCAGAUUGGCAUCUUUCACUUAGGUUUUCAGUUUCUUUCAUCGCAUAUUUUGGAAGAUAACAUUUGCAAUUGCUGAGGGUUUUGUUUUAUUUAUAACUUUAUAUAACUUCAUUAUAACAUAAUUGUAAACCUUAUUUCUUUGUUCUAAUGGACUGAGUUGGGACCAUAAUAGUGGACAUCUUCUGAAGAAUUUUUAAUUUUCUCAUUUAUUCUAGCAUUUCACUAUCCAACAAAAUGUUUAUUCCAGGAUUUUGGUUGAUUUCAUUAAUCAGGAAAGAAGCUUCAUAUUACAACAGGCUGACAUGUUUUUAGCUCAAGAGUGGAGACUUCUGUCAAUCAUGUGGGAUCAUGAAUGCCUGAAAGGUUGGAGGUCCAUGCGUUGACCAAGAAGAACUCCAGCUGCUUCAGAUUGCUUGAUUGUCACUGAAAAGUACACUCAAUAUGAAGAAGAUUGCAGUUAACUGGAGAUUAAAAUUAGAUGUCUUAAUAAGGCAAAUCAUUUCAACGUAUGUCUUCCCUUUCUUUGAUUUCCUCUCAUGUGUAUUAUAACACCUCUUACUAGAGGGCUCCAGAAGGAACUGCUCUCACCCUUACCUGCACUGUUUUGUUGAAAAGGAAUGUUUCUGAUUUUAUCUCCUCAUUUUUACUACUUCUUCUUAUCUUUUUUUAAAAUUUUAUUUUCAUGGUAUGACACGUGAAAGACCUCAGGGCUUUUGGCAUGUGUGUUAGCCAGAGAUGUUCUACAGUUUCUUUAGUGAUAUAAGACAAUCUUCUUUUGGAGAGUGUUUCAAGCACCGAAGGCUUAAUAUUGCCAUUUUCACAUUUGGAUGGCAUUUUUCCAAAUGUCUUGUGAGCCUUGCCAGUGGUGGCAAGCUGUAAUUGGUCAAAAAUGAAAGUGAAAACUUAAUGAAAACUAAGUUUCCAGUCUCGU